GUACUGCAAGCGUAAACUAUAAUCCGGAAGUUCUGAGACUGUCCUAUUUGACGCGCCGUACUGACGUUAAGCACUAUGGCGUGCCUUCAGAGAGCGUGCUCACUCAAAACAAACAGUUAGGAUUUGUUUGAACGGGAUACAUGCAUUGUGCAGGAUGAGGAGCGCGCUUUAGAGCGAAUGGAUUUUACCGAAGGAUCCGCGCUCGGCGUGUUCAGCUGUGAGCUGUGCGAGCUGUCCAGUCCGUACAGUUUCUACGGGCAGAAGCCGCCAAACACGAGAGCAAUAGUGCUCUUGGAGGAAUGUUAUGGCAUGAAGGAUCCCUUCAGCCCGGAGAGAGAGAAGUUCCUUGUUUUAGGAUCCAAGUGCUCUCUGUGCAGUAAGACGGUGUGUGUGGGAACGGACUGCAGUCUGUUCUACACCAAACGCUUUUGUUUGCCAUGUGUGCGGGAUCACCUUCAUCAGUUUCCAGAACAGGUUCAAAACGAGGUGCUGAGGAAGAAGAGUGUCCAGAAGAUGUCCUCCCCAUGAUGAUAUAUUGUUUAUGAACAGAGGACACUAGUGAGCCAUCUGGCCAAGACACACACUAUAUAAAUGUGAUUAAAUGAUAUAGAUGAGAUUCGAACCUGUUGCUGGAGGAGUGCUACAUUGUUCUGAGUGUGGGCAGUACCACUACACCACAGCUGGGGAGCUACUUACUUCAAGAUUUUCCACCUUGAUUUGAGCCCUACUCAGCCCAACUGGUUUAGUAGCAAAAAACACAGGUGAGUAGUGAAAUAUAAGUUCCAGCACAUGCAUAGGAAGAGAUCUGUGGCUCAAUGGUAGAGCACUGGCACACAAUGCCAGAGGUCGCUGGUUCGACUCCAGCCAGAUCUCGGGGCAGCGGAGCGGCUGACCGGAUGGAGCGGAGCGGAGCAGAGUGGCUGACCAGAUGGAGCGGAGCGUGGCGGAGCGGGAAGGAGCGUGGCGGAGCAGAAUGACCAAGGAGGACUGGAUGGAGGAGCAGACAGAGAAGAGGAAGAGUGAAGAAAGGAGCACCCGAAGAAAGGAGGGGGACCGUGGCCUGGGUCCCCCCCCCGGCCUCCGGGACAAUGACCAGCAGCGGUUAUAGAGAAAAUCACCAAAAAAAACCGCUUUUGUACUUAACAAAAAAUUUUAAUUUUUUGCAUAUAUACGUUAGUAUAUAUGUAUAUAAUAGGGGCAGCAGGGG